UACGGAGGGAGCUAGCGUUGUUCGGAAUUACUGGGCGUAAAGCGCACGUAGGCGGCGAUUCAAGUCAGAGGUGAAAGCCCCGGGGCUCAACUCCGGAACUGCCUUUGAAACUAGAUUGCUAGAAUCUUGGAGAGGCGAGUGGAAUUCCGAGUGUAGAGGUGAAAUUUCGUAGAUAUUCGGAAGAACACCAGUGGCGAAGGCGACUCGCUGGACAAGUAUUGAACGCUGAGGUG
rnacentral:rRNA from 1 species